ACGGGAGGCAGCAGUGGGGAAUAUUGGACAAUGGAGGCAACUCUGAUCCAGCGACGCCGCGUGAGUGAAGAAGUAUUUCGGUAUGUAAAGCUCUAUCAGCAGGGAAGAUGAUGACGGUACCUGACUAAGAAGCCCCGGCUAACUACGUGCCAGCAGCCGCGGUAAUACGUAGGGGGCAAGCGUUAUCCGGAUUUACUGGGUGUAAAGGGAGCGUAGGCGGCCAGACAAGUCAGGUGUGAAAACCCGGGGCUUAACCCCGGGACUGCACUUGAAACUGCCUGGCUGGAGUGCAGGAGAGGCAAGUGGAAUUCCUAGUGUAGCGGUGAAAUGCGUAGAUAUUAGGAAGAACACCGGUGGCGAAGGCGACUUGCUGGACUGAGACUGACGCUGAGGCUCGAAAGCGUGGGGAGCAAACAGGAUUAGAUACCCUGGUA
rnacentral:rRNA from 1 species